GGAGGUUGAUCGGUAGUACAUUGUAGUUGGUGGCUAAAUCUUGUAAAGGGUUUCCUAAUAUGGGCCGUCUUACAGCAGUGCCCUCCCCCCUGGGCCAUCCCCUCCACCUCUCAGCCAGUGAUCACACAGCUCGGGUACGACUCACUUCCUCAUUAAUUGGCUGAAACCAGUUCUUACAGGAACCGCCUGUGAUAAAUGUGAGAGUUCUGAGAAGUCAUUCAUUUCUGCGCGCUGCAGCGGCAGAGGAGGCACUGCAGGGGAGUUGAACGGGUUCACCGCUGUGUGAGAGAGAGAGAGCGAGGGAGAGAGGGAGUGAGCAUGUGUGUACGCAGACUGAGAGGAGCUGAGCGCACUCAAUACUGCAGACGCCACAGACGCUCCAGCCACGCACCGCACACUUCUGCUUCUCCUCUCUCUCUUCGUCUUUGUCUCUUGUCUUUUUAGUGAAAAAGCGUCUUAUUAGCUGAAGCCGGGGCACAGACUGUACUUUUUUCUCUUUCCUGUUUGUGUGUGUGGGGGGAUGCACCCGUUGAUCCCUCCGUCUUUCUCUCUUCUCUCAGAGGAAGCGAGAGGCCGACACUGUACAGGAGAUAGGACAGCAUGCCUCUCUUUGUUGCUGCCCUUGGGCUGGUGAGUAACAAUGAUGUGACGUGAUUUGCACCCCCCACCCCCAUUCUUCCCUUCCCUCCCUCUUUCCCUCCUUUUCCUCUCUCCCUCUCUCCUCUCUUGUGUUGUUGGACAUAGGCUCCACUGCUGGGUGCGGCACUGCAGAAGCCCUUCAGAGACACUUGGAGGCCCAGAAGGCCGAGCGGCUCUCGGCAUCCGAGAGGGGUCCCAACUGGACACUGUAGCUUCAGACAUGGAUCUUCUACCAGGCUCUUCACGAUGUGCUCCUUUGUGCUGCAUUGUCAUCUCACCUCGGGCUCCAGCACCAGGGGAAGUGUGGGUGGCCGAGAGUCCCAAAGCUUCAGAGGACUUCUGCACUAAUUUCUACUCUCCUUUCAGCUGAUAACCCUCCAUUAUCUGCCUCCGUCUGGUUUCCUUCUUAUUGUACAAACUUGUUUAUGUUGAACUUGGACUUGCAGUUACUUGCUUGUGAAGUCUUUAGUAAUUAUUUCUGCUAAGGUAGGUGGUAGCCUAAAUCUUGGGAUAUUUCAGUUGUACUAUAGACUGUAUAUUUCAGCAUGUGUGGGAUAACUGAGUGGAAUAAAUGUAGCCAGUUAAGCAUCAAGUUGUAUAUUUGAAGGACCUAACAUCCCACGGCGCUUUCAGUUAACCUUUUGAAAAUUCAGAUUAUUUUUUGAAGGAAUAUGCUUCUUGCUGUAUUCCCUUGUGGAUAUUUUUCAUUUUAAGGCUAUUUUCAGUUGUCGAUUUCAUAGUAGUUUGUAACUUGUAGAUCAGUGGGUCAGUAGUAGCAAAGAUAUGAAUCCUGUGUAGUCUAUUGUAUUAACUGUUGAGAAUAGUUUACUUUUGGCAGGGAGAACAUAAAUUCUCAGUCAAUCAGUGUACUGGUCCUUUGUCUGCUCGUAUUGUUCUGCUUACAGGAAGAGCCAUGAGUCAGCCUGGGGGCUUUACCAGAUGCAGUCCUAUACUACAGUACAGUAUAGAGUGAGUGGUAUUUUUGGCUUAGUCUAGUUUAGUGUGGUCAUUUCCAUUUUUCCUGAAUUAAAUUAGAACAGUAUAUGCUAAUAGUCUGUCCCAAAGUCUCGCCUCUUGUCAUUUACUCCUCUGUUUCAGUUAACAGAGUCAGGCUGGCUGCUUUUCUUUGUCUCCAUAGCCAGGGAGCUGUGUGCCUUUUAGAUCUUACAUCAUCUCCCUAGCACCACCUAACGCCUUAUUUCUAAUCCAUCUUUGUCUUUCCUUUCUUAUCGGAGCACAAAUCUAUCUCUUUUUCCCCUAAAAUCUCCACCAAAAUAUAGUAUUUUUGGUGCUGGGUCCUUGGCGCUGCUGUGCUGUGCUACGCUGGACUGAGUAGAGCAGGCACGGGCGGAGGGAAAAAAAGCUCAGAGUGAAAAGCGUCUGUGGUGUUACCUCAACUGAACCUUCCAAUGAACUCGAUGCACUGCCCCAGUCACGGAGCCAGGAGACGAAUCACUCGAGUAGAUUCAAAACAGAGGGGUACUGUUAAGCAUGCUGAACCCUUUGCUCCUGCUCAGCUCACAGCAUUCUCCUCUCCUCUGCCACGGUAAGUACGAUUAGGAUUUCUUCUCCUUUAUUGUUAGUGUACAUGUGAGCCACGGACAUGUUCGGCACUCGGUUUGUCAGAUAGCUUAUCAGACUGGUGUUGGCUGUUAAGAUUACAAGGCGACAACAGUCUGUAAGCUGUCUGACAUUUUGAGCUUAUUCAUCUGAUCCUGCUUAGUCCUCUUCUCGUAUUGUCUUUGUCUCACUUAGCAUCAGUUCCCGUACGGAGGUGUGUUCUGCUAUGGGAACACUGAAGUCACCCUUUUGUUUAUUUCCUCUAUGAUGACGUUUGUGGAGGUUUUUUACGAGGAACUGUUUCUCACUUGUUGGUGCUAAUACUUUCAUGAUUUAUCCGCUUCACCAUGCGUGCUUUUUAGUUGGCUUUAGCUGUUGAAUUUCCAGAGAAUCCAGACAGAACACACCUCAUUGCAACACAUUGUAUUGUGACACCCAGUUCUAGGUAUGGUACACGCAGUGCUCAGCUCCCUUCCCUUUUACACUUCCCUCUUUUCUAUAACAAAGAACUUCCCACAGUUGCUCAAUAACACUUUUUUGUUGGACUGUGCAUUUUAUUACAAUAGCUUAUCAUAAGGGUUUUUGUCAUGUAAAUUCCUAGUGGGAAAUUAUUGUCUGUUCACUGGUUACUAUUCUACUUUAAUUUUUUUUCAAUUUCUUCUAGAUUUAAAACAUUUUGGUCUGAAAAGCACAAAUUUGAUUUUUGGAAUUGACUCUAUUCUACAAAACAAUUUUAUUUUUUAAAUUUCUUCUAGACGUAAAACAUUUUGGUCUUAAAAGCAAAAAUUAGAUCAUUGGAAAAGACAGGAAUGGCUUUCUGGCUGAGGGAGUGUGUUUUUCUUGGCUGUUUCAGAAUGUCCUGUUCCAUGAGGGAGCCCCCUUUUGGCAUGUGCCUCACUACGUGUUUGUAAGCUUCUAGAAAUUCUCUCUGUACUCCAGAAAGUGUACUAAAUGUUUACGUCAUGUUUGUACCUGGGUUAUUUCAGAAAUGUACUCUUGUUUUUGUCAGUUGUCUUCUUUCUAAAUAAAGUCCAUUCAAAAGAG